GAUGAACGCUGGCGGCGUGCCUAAUACAUGCAAGUCGAGCGAACGGACGAGAAGCUUGCUUCUCUGAUGUUAGCGGCGGACGGGUGAGUAACACGUGGAUAACCUACCUAUAAGACUGGGAUAACUUCGGGAAACCGGAGCUAAUACCGGAUAAUAUUUUGAACCGCAUGGUUCAAAAGUGAAAGACGGUCUUGCUGUCACUUAUAGAUGGAUCCGCGCCGCAUUAGCUAGUUGGUAAGGUAACGGCUUACCAAGGCAACGAUGCAUAGCCGACCUGAGAGGGUGAUCGGCCACACUGGAACUGAGACACGGUCCAGACUCCUACGGGAGUCAGCAGUAGGGAAUCUUCCGCAAUGGGCGAAAGCCUGACGGAGCAACGCCGCGUGAGUGAUGAAGGUCUUCGGAUCGUAAAACUCUGUUAUUAGGGAAGAACAUAUGUGUAAGUAACUGUGCACAUCUUGACGGUACCUAAUCAGAAAGCCACGGCUAACUACGUG
rnacentral:rRNA from 1 species